GACGAACGCUGGCGGCGUGCUUAACACAUGCAAGUCGAGCGGUAAGGCCCUUUCGGGGGUACACGAGCGGCGAACGGGUGAGUAACACGUGGGUGACCUGCCUUUAGCUCUGGGAUAAGCCUGGGAAACCGGGUCUAAUACCGGAUAUGACUCCGCGGCGCAUGUUGUGGGGUGGAAAGCCUUGUGCGGCUGGAGAUGGGCCCGCGGCCUAUCAGCUUGUUGGUGGGGUGAUGGCCUACCAAGGCGACGACGGGUAGCCGGCCUGAGAGGGCGACCGGCCACACUGGGACUGAGACACGGCCCAGACUCCUACGGGAGGCAGCAGUGGGGAAUCUUGCGCAAUGGGCGAAAGCCUGACGCAGCGACGCCGCGUGAGGGAUGACGGCCU
rnacentral:rRNA from 1 species